rnacentral:tRNA from 1 species
GCCCAGCUAGCUUAGUCAGUAGACCGUGAGACUCUUAAUCUCAGGGUUGUGGGUUUGAGCCCCAUGUUGGGUG